CUGAGCCUUCAGAACUGCGAUCCUGGCUUCCGGAAAGGGACUGCUGGGGAAGUGGGAGGGUGGGAACGCUACAGGUUUAUGAAUUAUGCAUCAAAGUACAAGAGAGUUUCUGGCUUAAAGAGGAUGACCAUCGCCAAUAGGAGAGGACUGUUCCUCCCUCAGCGGUGUACAAGUAGCUGGGCUGCCCUUCUGGAACCUCCAGACAAACUCUCAAAGAAGAAACUCUUCACAUUGCAUUGCUGAGUGCAUAGUAAGUGCUGAAUAAAUACUGUUUCAGUGAAUGAAUUCUGCCGCAAGCCUGUACCUGAUGUGGCCAGAAUCCUUCUGGGCUCUUUUGGAUGAAGCAGAACUGAGGUGCUUCCCAUUAACAGGAAUAGCUCUUGACUGAGAAAGCAAGAUUACCUUAACAAAUACCAUGAGUCCCCAAUUUGAACAUUUGAGUUGCACAUGAACUGGACCCUGCAUGUAAACAUUUGCAGAUGGAACAAAUCGUGGAAGUAGCUCAGGUGUCUGCCAGACAUUGUCGCAGUUGUGCUGCUGUGUGCUUAUGUAUCGCUUGAUAGUGUACAGCAGUACAGUGCUCAGUCAGAGCCCAGGAUGUCUGGAAGAGGAAAAGCAGUGGUGCUGUGGAGGAGACUGCAAGGAAGCACAAAGCAAUAACCAUGCAAACAAAAGUAGAAAUAAUUGAGAGACUGAACCAGGCGAAAAGAUGGUAGAUGUCACUUUUUUUUUUUUGGUCUUUAUGAGACAGGGUCUCACUAUGCAGCUGAGGCUGGUCUUGUGCUCACUUUGAAGCGCAAGCUCGUCUCCAACUCACAACAAUCCUCCUGCCUCAGCCUCCCGAGUGCUGGGAUUACAGGUGUGCGCCAUCACGCCCAGCUCAUCACUUGUUCUUAAAACGUGAAUCGUUCAACCAUUGGCACAAUUCUAAAGAAUAAGGACAAGAUCGUGGAACAUGUGAAGCCCACUGUGCCAACAAAACCAGUAAUAUCCAAACAUCAAGGUACAGUGACAGAACAUGCAUGGAGAAACUUCUCCAGUUUUUUUUUUGUUUGUUUGUUUGUUUGUUUGUUUGUUUUCCAGUACCAGGAAUCAAAUUCACAACCUCGUGUUUGCCAGGCAAAUGCUGAGAAACUUCUCAGUGUGUGGAUGCAGGGUCAAUGUCAGCAUCAAGUCCCACUCAGCUUAAUGAUUAUUCAAGAAAAAGCGAAAAGCCUGUUUGAAGACUUGAACAAAAACCAAAGUGAACAGGGUGCAUCUUUUCCUGCCAGCCAUGGGUGGUCUAAUAGAUUCAAGGCUAGAGCCAACCUUCAGAACGGAAAAGUAAGUGGUGAGGCUUCAAGUGCAGAGACCAUAGCUGCCCAAGAAUUUCCAGCAACACUUGAUAAUGAUGAGCGAGCCACUACUCAACUAUCAAUUGGAUCAUUUUUUCAAGGGGGCAGACAGAAUUGAAUCUAUCAAAAAACCUGUGUCACCAACAUCAGGUGGGACCAAAUUCCAUCUUACCCUCCAUGUCCUAUUGCUGGUGAUCCUUCAGCUCGACCAUCUCUCACCUACCCUCCCUCCUCCAGCCGGUAACUCUUCUUGUCCAUUCACUCUGUGUGAUCCCCUUUAUGCCACUAUAGUGAACCACCAUUUUAAGGUAACUGCAAAAGUAGUUUAUUUACAGUUGUACUGUACUGCCAUUUUAAGGUAACUGUAAAAGUAAAAAGUUUAUUUAUUGUA